GGACGGGUGGCCGAGUGGUUUUAAGGCGUAAGUUUUAGGCACUUAUGCAGAAAUGCGCAUGGGUUCGAAUCCCAUCCCGUCUA